UAAUUAUUAUUAAUUAAUUAAAUAAAAUAGGAACAAUGCAGAGAAGAUUAGCCAGGCCCUUGCACAAGGAUGUCAUGAAAAUGUGCAAAGUAUUUCAUAUAUUU
ensembl:snRNA U6 U6 spliceosomal RNA